rnacentral:rRNA from 1 species
CCUACGGGAGGCAGCAGUGAGGAAUAUUGGUCAAUGGAGGCAACUCUGAACCAGCCAUGCCGCGCUGAAGGAUGAAGGUCCUCUGGAUUGUAAACUUCUUUUAUAAAAGAAGAAACCCCAGAUUUCUAUCUGGGUUGACGGUACUUUAUGAAUAAGCACCGGCUAACUCCGUGCCAGCAGCCGCGGUAAUACGGAGGGUGCAAGCGUUAUCCGGAUUCACUGGGUUUAAAGGGAGCGUAGGUGGGCUGGUAAGUCAGUGGUGAAAUCCCCGAGCUUAACUUGGGAACUGCCAUUGAUACUAUCAGUCUUGAAUACUGUGGAGGUAAGCGGAAUAUAUCAUGUAGCGGUGAAAUGCUUAGAUAUGAUAUAGAACACCGAUAGCGAAGGCAGCUUACUACGCAGUUAUUGACACUGAGGCUCGAAAGCGUGGGGAUCAAACAGGAUUAGAUACCCUGGUAGUCCACGCCCUAAACUAUGGAUACUCGACAUCAGCGAUACACAGUUGGUGUCUGAGCGAAAGCAUUAAGUAUCCCACCUGGGAAGUACGUCCGCAAGGAUGAAACUCAAAUGAAUUGACGG